AUUGAACGCUGGCGGCAGGCCUAACACAUGCAAGUCGAACGGUAACAGGAAGCAGCUUGCUGCUUUGCUGACGAGUGGCGGACGGGUGAGUAAUGUCUGGGAAACUGCCCGAUGGAGGGGGAUAACUACUGGAAACGGUAGCUAAUACCGCAUAACGUCGCAAGACCAAAGAGGGGGACCUUCGGGCCUCUUGCCAUCGGAUGUGCCCAGAUGGGAUUAGCUAGUAGGUGGGGUAACGGCUCACCUAGGCGACGAUCCCUAGCUGGUCUGAGAGGAUGACCAGCCACACUGGAACUGAGACACGGUCCAGACUCCUACGGGAGGCAGCAGUGGGGAAUAUUUCACAAUGGGCGCAAGCCUGAUGCAGCCAUGCCGCGUGUAUGAAGAAGGCCUUCGGGUUGUAAAGUACUUUCAGCGGGGAGGAAGGGAGUAAAGUUAAUACCUUUGCUCAUUGACGUUACCCGCAGAAGAAGCACCGGCUAACUCCGUG
rnacentral:rRNA from 1 species